CUCAUAGUGGAGGAGUCACAUCAUUCAUAUCACUAUUCGCUGUUUCUGUAGAUUUGUAAAUAUAAACAGACUAAUUUAUCACAGACGGGUGCUGGUAGCUUUUACAUGUCUUCCACUAUUAACCAGGGCAGACCUGGCACAUGACCCAAAAUCCAUGCAUGGAAAGUAAAGGAGGAAACUACGUAGACUCCUGGAGAAUUGUCCCUACCACUUCCUUCACCCUGUUUGCAGUGGAAUGAAGUGUCUAAUAAUUAACAAGUAG